rnacentral:rRNA from 1 species
CCUACGGGAGGCAGCAGUGGGGGAUAUUGCACAAUGGGGGAAACCCUGAUGCAGCAACGCCGCGUGGGGGAAGAAGCGCCUAGGAGCGUAAAGCCCUGUUAGGAGGGAAGAAAAUGACGGUAUCUGACGAAUAAGCACCGGCUAACUACGUGCCAGCAGCCGCGGUAAUACGGAGGGUGCAAGCGUUAUCCGGAUUCACUGGGCGUAAAGGGGGCGCAGGCGGGGUUGUAAGUCAGACGUGAAAGCCUGGGGCCGAACCCCAGGACUGCACUUGAAACUCUGUGUCUAGAGUGCAGGAGGGGUAGGUGGAAUUCCUGGUGUAGGGGUGAAAUGCGUAGAUAUCAAGAGGAACACUGAUGGCGAAGGCGACCUACUGGACCGCAACUGACGCUGAGGCACGAAAGCGUGGGGAGCAAACAGGAUUAGAUACCCCAGUAGUC